rnacentral:rRNA from 1 species
ACUGAACGUUGGCGGAAUGCUUUACACAUGCAAGUCGAGCGGCAGCACGGGGGCAACCCUGGUGGCGAGCGGCGAACGGGUGAGUAAUACAUCGGAACAUGCCCAGUCGUGGGGGAUAACACUUCGAAAGAAGUGCUAAUACCGCAUACGUCCUGAGGGAGAAAGCGGGGGAUCUUCGGACCUCGCGCGAUUGGAGUGGCCGAUGUGAGAUUAGCUAGUUGGUGGGGUAAAGGCCUACCAAGGCAACGAUCUGUAGCUGGUCUGAGAGGAUGAUCAGCCACACUGGGACUGAGACACGGCCCAGACUCCUACGGGAGGCAGCAGUGGGGAAUUUUGGACAAUGGGGGCAACCCUGAUCCAGCCAUUCCGCGUGAGUGAAGAAGGCCUUCGGGUUGUAAAGCUCUUUCGGCAGGAACGAAACGGCGAGCUCUAACAUAGCUUACUAAUGACGGUACCUGAAGAAGAAGCACCGGCUAACUACGUGCCAGCAGCAGCCGCAGUAA